AAUCAGUGCGGCCAUGAUGGAGAACACUGACGCUGAUCCACCGCCAGAUGCUGUAUCUUCCAUGUGCUUCAGGUGAACAUCAGUUGAGUUUAACCAGCUGUGUUAUUUCCAUUUGUUUGUAUUAAGGAUGAGUGAAGCUGUUGUUUCCAUGGUGAUUUUUCUGAUCUUUAAACUUGAAGCCUUCAGUGUCAUGUUGGUGUUGGGGUCAGGGCCUGACCACGUCCUCCCUCUGCCAUGACCUGAGAACCUCCUGGUACCUGGACGUCUUUCAGCACACUGAUCAGACCAUUUAUUUCAUCUGGACUCCACCGACAUCACACUCACACAUCACUGAAUGAUGACUGAGUUAUCACCACACAACAACAACAACAACAACAACAAUAUGAAAUAAAACGACAGUGUCACUGA